AUUUGAGAGGAUCUGCUCCUAGUACGAGAGGACCAGAGUGGACGAACCUCUGGUGUACCGGUUGUGACGCCAGUCGCAUCGCCGGGUAGCUAUGUUCGGAAGGGAUAACCGCUGAAAGCAUCUAAGCGGGAAGCCUACCUCAAGAUAAGAUUUCCCUAGGACUUUAUGUCCUCUAAAGAGCCGUUCGAGACUAGGACGUUGAUAGGUUGGAUGUGGAAGCAUAGUGAUAUGUGAAGCUGACCAAUACUAAUUGCUCGUGAGGCUUGACUAU
rnacentral:rRNA from 1 species